GUGCUCUUGCUUUCUCUUAUUUGAUUGAAAAGGGCUCAGGAUUGUUAUUUAGUGCAUGUGUGCUCUCUCUUAUUAAUUAUUUUUUUUUAACCUCUGCAGUUCCUGUUGCCUUCUCAACAGAUGUAGCACUGCGGUAGAAACUAUGUAUGCCUCAAAUUAACCAGAAAAAAUGUGAUUAUACUGAUAAUUUUUUUUUUGUGUGUAGCUCCAGCUGCAGUUAUAUGAGACGUGCUUUAUAAUUCAUCCACUGGGAAUUUGGUGUCUAUUUUGAAACCUCUGACGUGCCUAUUAGAAGGUAACUGAGAACUGCAUGCCAACACUCUCAAGUACAGUGAUGACAGAUCAUUAUUUUUAAACCUUGUGGGUACUUUUGGACUGAGACUUGCCUAGCAUGUUGUAAGAAUGACAGGUUUAUAAAUCGUGCUUAAUCACCGUGGCUUACCUUAAUAAUCCUUGAAAACCAGUUCCACUGCUGCUUGGAUGGUAGCUCGAGUGAUUUUUUGUUCUGUUGAGAUUAGCUGGAUAGAACCACCUCAAUCCAUCCUAUACUUAUUGUUAAGGUAAGAUGAGGGUGAUAUGCUAUAUGUUAUGCUGUAUAUCUCUUGCAAUCUGUGCAGUGAAAACCAGAUAUGGGCUUUUUCACACAGGUUUGUGCUUUCUCUUUCACUCUGAAUCAAUCUGUACUUUCUGCAUUUAAAACAGAAGUACUCUGGUUUCAUUCACAAAUUCGUAACGUUUGGGUGAUGCCCCUAUAUCCUAUGGAUAAUAUGAGAUGCACUCUGGUAAAUGUGACACAGGUGUGGCCUGUGUUCCACGCAUGGUUUGCAUUCCUUUUCUCUGAGCCUGGUUAGAGAGAAAGUACAUGAGACACUUCACUGCUGCUAUUCUGGGAAACAUCAAGGAUGCAUCGGCAACCAUUUGGAAACUUUGCUGGUUUGGCUGAAAUCAUAAUUUCAAAGCCAUAGCACAUAUUACUCUCAUAGUUUUGUUUUCAUACUAAAUUUUAAAGAAGCCCUGAGGUAUUUUGUCAUAUAAUCAAAACAAAAAUCACUGUUCUAUCUCUUUUGCAGUGUUAUUUUUCCCCUGUGCCUUAAGCAGUCACCGGAGAACAAAUGUGUUAUGGCUGGAAGAGGGAAAAUAUGAAAGAAUGGAGUGGUUUGUAAAACUGAAAUGGAAAGCAUAUUUGGUUGACAUGUUUUUUUAAAAAGCUACUUCUGUAUAUAGAUGACAGAGUAUUGUCAGCUACUGUUUAAAGGGUAUAUAUAUUAGCCUGACCAAUUUGAAAUGCCAGGAACCUGGUCUGGCUUCUCUAAGAUGCAGCAUAAGAACAUGAUGGUGCAUAACUUUUUUAAAAAAAGAUAAAAACAAGCAAACUAACAAACAAAAAACUAAGCAAAAUUCAAUUAAAAUUAAGCUCUGGAUUCAUUUGGGCACUUCUGUAAUUUUUGCUUAUUCAACGUACUACGAGAAUUAAUUGAGUAGAAAGUGAACAAUAUGUGAUCCGAUGUAAUCGUUGCAUAUUGCCAUUGAUCAAUGGGUGUACCAGGGUAUUGUCUGUGCUUGUAUGCUUUGAGAUGCUACCCUUUAAGUCCCAGCCUCCAUUAGCAGACUUGUGUAGAGUCAGAAAAGGAAAAAGGAGAAAAAAACAUAUGGCAACAGAAAAAAACCACACAAUUCCUGGUUCAGAACUCAGAAUUAAGAGACUGUGGAGGUUGUCACAAGAUUAGGGUUACACUAAGAUGGUCUGACCUCACCUAGUCAUGCACACAGUAAAAUGUAAUAUAAUAUUGUUGUAAGCUUGUGACAUUGUAAAUUAUAAUUCUUAUUUUGUGUGUACUACCACUGACUUAGCUGCUGAGUAAUGAAUACUUCAGAAUUGGCAUAGGAGAAAUAGCUUUGCAACGGAAGAACACUCAGGCUCUUGAUGAAAGAGUUUGCCUCACCCACACCAGUCGCUGUCCUCUUCACAGGAAUGUCAUUGUUCUGAACUGUUGCUAGUGGAUGCUGUUUCUCAAGAAUAUCCCAGAAGGAAAGGGAAAGCAAAUGGGACUACCGUAAUGAAAAAGUUUGACCUUCAGCUGAUACAAACACGUUCAAGUCCUGGGUAGAUUUCCUUACGAAGGUAAACAACGUGGACUGGAAUUAUGGUAUAAGAAAUUAAUUCAUGAUUGCACAGGUCUUCUAAAUAAUGUAAACCUAUGUAAAUUAAGGCUUGAAGAGACUUUUGGAUAUGUAGUCCAUAUAUGAAGAAGUGUAAGUUAUGCUUGAACCAUUCCUGGUGCUUAUUUAGGUGCUUGCAAGAAGUUGGAUAAUGAUGGCAGUUCCACCAGCUGCUCACAAAUCUGAUAUUAUCUCUAGGUAUUGUCUUAAAGCAUGGCUCCUAAGAUGCACAAAGUAGCUCAGUAGAGGCUUUAGUGAGUCCUAAGUAGAGCGAAAGGUUUAUAUAUCUCAGUACGUUUGCUUUUUUCAGAAGAGUACGGCAGUGUUGACUCAUGUUCAGUUUGUGAUCUACUCUAACCCCAGGUCCUUUCCUACAGGACUGCUGG